GGCUAGCCAUGAGCGUCGUUGCCACAAGUACCCGAGCAACCAACCCCACCGGCCGCCAAGCAGAGCAGAGCGCACGCACUUCCGGCGCGGCGGCGAUGUCAGACGACGUCGCGCCGUGCACCGCCUUGGCCUACCUCGACCCCUCCUACUGGGACCAGCGGUUCGGGAAGGAGGAGCACUAUGAGUGGUUUAAGGACUUGUCCCACUUCCGCCACCUCCUCUCCCCGCUCCUCUCCCCCUCCAUCUCGGUUCUUGAAGUCGGGUGUGGCAACUCGCGGCUUGGAGAGGACCUCUUGCGGGAGGGCGUCGCCGGCGGCAUCACCUGUAUUGAUCUCUCGCCGGUCGCCGUCCAAAAGAUGCGCCACCGGCUGGCGGAGCAGGGCACCAGUGGUGUAGAUGUGGUGGUGGCUGACAUGCUCGACAUGCCAUUCGAGAGUGAGAGCUUUGACCUUGUGAUUGAGAAAGGAACCAUGGAUGUGUUGUGUGUGGACGUUGGUGAUCCGUGGAACCCCAAUCCUACAACAGUGGAUAAUAUAAUGAAAAUGCUUGAAGGUAUCCACAAGGUCUUGAAGCCAGACGGCAUAUUUGUAUCCAUUACCUUUGGACAGCCACAUUUUCGUCGUCGAUUUUUUGAGGCACCUGGGUUUACAUGGUCUGUCGAAUGGAGCACCUUUGGUGAUGGCUUCCAUUACUUCUUCUACACCCUUCGGAAGGGCAAGAGGUCACCAGAGCCCAGUGGUCACCAAAACAAGUUGCCUGCUCCUCCAACUAUUAACAUGCUUCAUGAAGAGCUUGAAAGUGAGGAUUACAUAUUUUGCAUAAAUGUUGAAGAGUUAUAAGCAGUAACUCAACACAUGAAUGUGUUGGUAUGGAGGUGUUGAUGCUACACAUGAAGGGUCUGGAACAGUCAGCAACCCAGCGAGUGAUGUUUGUAAUUUGUGAGACAGAGGACAGAUGAAUUUACAAGCUUUGUUGUGCAGUGAUGUACCAUUGCCCAGGCUAGGGAUCUUCAUUCCAUCAGAAGUCAGAACUGACCCACAACACGUGUUCCCAUUUUAGGGCCUUCUGGUAUUAUUUCGCCAGAGGAACUUGAUGACAGAUACAGAGAGGUACGGUUGAUAAAGUACAAAUACGAAAUUAUCUUAUCUGGUUUCUGUCAAGCAAACAGGGUUC